GUCAUAAUAAAAACGUAUAUUUCGUCGUUUCAGAAUGGUUUACUUCAAGAAAUCGUGGGGCCGGGGGGUGGGGUUUGCGGUUUCGCCCGCAGGA